rnacentral:rRNA from 1 species
AUUGAACGCUGGCGGCAGGCCUAACACAUGCAAGUCGAGCGGAUGAAGGGAGCUUGCUCCUGGAUUCAGCGGCGGACGGGUGAGUAAUGCCUAGGAAUCUGCCUGGUAGUGGGGGAUAACGUCCGGAAACGGGCGCUAAUACCGCAUACGUCCUGAGGGAGAAAGUGGGGGAUCUUCGGACCUCACGCUAUCAGAUGAGCCUAGGUCGGAUUAGCUAGUUGGUGGGGUAAAGGCCUACCAAGGCGACGAUCCGUAACUGGUCUGAGAGGAUGAUCAGUCACACUGGAACUGAGACACGGUCCAGACUCCUACGGGAGGCAGCAGUAGGGAAUAUUGGACAAUGGGCGAAAGCCUGAUCCAGCCAUGCCGCGUGUGUGAAGAAGGUCUUCGGAUUGUAAAGCACUUUUAGUUGGGAAGAAGAGCAGUAAGUUAAUACCUUGCUGUUUUGACGUUACCAACAGAGAAAGCACCGGCUAACUUCGUG